rnacentral:rRNA from 1 species
CAGCAGCCGCGGGAAUACGAAGGGUGCAAGCGUUAAUCGGAGUUACUGGGCGUAAAGGGUGCGUAGGCGGUUGUUUAAGUCUGUUGUGAAAUCCCCGGGCUCAACCUGGGAAUGGCAAUGGAAACUGGACGGCUAGAGUGUGUCAGAGGAUGGUGGAAUUCCCGGUGUAGCGGUGAAAUGCGUAGAGAUCGGGAGGAACAUCAGUGGCGAAGGCGGCCAUCUGGGACAACACUGACGCUGAAGCACGAAAGCGUGGGGAGCAAACAGGAUUAGAUACCCGCGUAGUCCCUGUCUCUUAUAC